AACGAACGUUAGCGGCGCGCCUAACACAUGCAAGUCGAGCGAGAAAGGGCUUCGGCCCCGGUAAAGCGGCGCACGGGUGAGUAACACGUAGGUAAUCUACCCCUGAAUGGUGGAUAACUCUCCGAAAGGAGAGCUAAUACAGCAUAAGACCACGGCCUCUUCGGAGGCUGAGGCCAAAGCGGGCCACUUCACGAAAGCUCGCGUUUGGGGAUGAGCCUGCGGCCCAUCAGCUAGNGGCGGUGUAAAAGACCACCAAGGCUAAGACGGGUAGCUGGUCUGAGAGGAUGAACAGCCACACUGGAACUGAGACACGGUCCAGACUCCUACGGGAGGCAGCAGUGGGGAAUCUUGCGCAAUGGGCGAAAGCCUGACGCAGCGACGCCGCGUGA
rnacentral:rRNA from 1 species